rnacentral:rRNA from 1 species
UACGUAGGGUGCGAGCGUUAAUCGGAAUUACUGGGCGUAAAGUGUGCGCAGGCGGCGCUGCAAGUCGAGUGUGAAAUCCCCCGAGCUUAACUUGGGAAUUGCGCUCGAAACUACGGCGCUGGAGUAUGGCAGAGGAAGGUGGAAUUCCACGUGUAGCGGUGAAAUGCGUAGAUAUCGGAAGGAACAUCAGUGGCGAAAGCGACUUCCUGGACCAGUACCGACGUUCAGGCACGAAAGCGUGGGGAGCAAACAGG